ensembl:snRNA U6 U6 spliceosomal RNA
GUGCUCUCCUAGGCAGCAUACAUUCUAAAACUGAAACAGUACAGAGAUUAUAAUGACCACUGUAUAAGGAUGACAUGCAAAUUCAUGGAACAUUCCAUACAAGU